GGUCUCGUGGCCCAAUGGCAAGGCGUCUGACUACGAUUCGGUUCAAACACACAUGACCGUCCGGAAAUCAGGAGAUUGUCGGUUCGAUCCCGGCCGAGAUCA